rnacentral:rRNA from 1 species
GUUAUUAAAUUGUUUUACCCAGGGGCUAAACCAACCGGUGCGUUGGUAGCUGAAGGUACCUGGAGAAUAAGCAUCGGCUAAUUCCGUGCCAGCAGCCGCGGUAAUACGGAGGGUGCGAGCGUUAUCCGGAUUUACUGGGUUUAAAGGGUGCGCAGGCGGUUGUUUAAGUCAGGGGUGAAAGCCCUAUGCUCAACAUAGGGAUUGCCUUUGAUACUGAACGGCUAGAGUGAAGAUGGAGUGGGUGGAAUGUGUUGUGUAGCGGUGAAAUGCAUAGAUAUAACACAGAACACCGAUCGCGAAGGCAGCUCACUAAUUUUCAACUGACGCUCAUGCACGAAAGCGUGGGGAUCAAACAGGAUUAGAUACCCUGGUAGUCCACGCUGUAAACGAUGAUCACUAGCUGUUGGUACGCUGAAGUAUCAGUGGCUAAGCGAAAGUGAUAAGUGAUCCACCUGGGGAGUACGACCGCAAGGUUGAAACUCAAAGGAAUUGACGGGGGCCCGCACAAGCGGAGGAGCAUGUGGUUUAAUUCGAUGAUACGCGAGGAACCUUACCAGGGCUCGAACGCAGGGGGGAUAUACCUGAAAGGGUAUAGCCAGCGAUGGUCGCCUGCGAGGUGCUGCAUGGUUGUCGUCAGCUCGUGCCGUGAGGUGUCAGGUUAAGUCCUAUAACGAGCGCAACCCCUAUCCAUAGUUGCCAGCGGGUAAAGCCGGGGACUCUAUGGGAACUGCCUGCGCAAGCAGAGAGGAAGGAGGGGAUGACGUCAAAUCAGCACGGCCCUUAUGUCCUGGGCUACACACGUGCUACAAUGGUCGGUACAGAGGGCAGCGACCACGUGAGUGGGAGCCAAUCCUUAAAAGCCGAUCUCAGUUCGGAUUGGAGUCUGCAACCCGACUCCAUGAAGUUGGAUUCGCUAGUAAUCGCGCAUCAGCCAUGGCGCGGUGAAUACGUUCCCGGGCCUUGUACACACCGCCCGUCAAGCCAUGGGAGCUGGGGGUACCUGAAGUUCGUGACCCGCGAGGGAGCGACCUAGGGUAAACUCAGUGACUGGGGCUAAGUCGUAACAAGGUAGCCGUAGAA